rnacentral:rRNA from 1 species
UUAAGCGACUAAGCGUACACGGUGGAUGCCCUGGCAGUCAGAGGCGAUGAAGGACGUGCUAAUCUGCGAAAAGCGUCGGUAAGGUGAUAUGAACCGUUAUAACCGGCGAUGUCCGAAUGGGGAAACCCAGUGCAAUUCGUUGCACUAUCGUUAACUGAAUACAUAGGUUAACGAGGCGAACCGGGGGAACUGAAACAUCUAAGUACCCCGAGGAAAAGAAAUCAACCGAGAUUCCCCCAGUAGCGGCGAGCGAACGGGGAGCAGCCCAGAGUCUGAAUCAGCUUGUGUGUUAGUGGAACGGUCUGGAAAGUCCGACGGUACAGGGUGAUAGUCCCGUACACCAAAAUGCACAGGUUGUGAACUCGAAGAGUAGGGCGGGACACGUGGUAUCCUGUCUGAAUAUGGGGGGACCAUCCUCCAAGGCUAAAUACUCCUGACUGACCGAUAGUGAACCAGUACCGUGAGGGAAAGGCGAAAAGAACCCCGGCGAGGGGAGUGAAAAAGAACCUGAAACCGUGUACGUACAAGCAGUGGGAGCACCUUCGGGUGUGACUGCGUACCUUUUGUAUAAUGGGUCAGCGACUUAUAUUCUGUAGCAAGGUUAACCGUAUAGGGGAGCCGCAGGGAAACCGAGUCUUAACUGGGCGUUAAGUUGCAGGGUAUAGACCCGAAACCCGGUGAUCUAGCCAUGGGCAGGUUGAAGGUUGGGUAACACUAACUGGAGGACCGAACCGACUAAUGUUGAAAAAUUAGCGGAUGACUUGUGGCUGGGGGUGAAAGGCCAAUCAAACCGGGAGAUAGCUGGUUCUCCCCGAAAGCUAUUUAGGUAGCGCCUCGUGAACUCAUCUUCGGGGGUAGAGCACUGUUUCGGCUAGGGGGUCAUCCCGACUUACCAACCCGAUGCAAACUACGAAUACCGAAGAAUGUUAUCACGGGAGACACACGGCGGGUGCUAACGUCCGUCGUGAAGAGGGAAACAACCCAGACCGCCAGCUAAGGUCCCAAAGUCAUGGUUAAGUGGGAAACGAUGUGGGAAGGCACAGACAGCCAGGAUGUUGGCUUAGAAGCAGCCAUCAUUUAAAGAAAGCGUAAUAGCUCACUGGUCGAGUCGGCCUGCGCGGAAGAUGUAACGGGGCUAAACCAUGCACCGAAGCUGCGGCAGCGACACUAUGUGUUGUUGGGUAGGGGAGCGUUCUGUAAGCCUGCGAAGGUGUGCUGUGAGGCAUGCUGGAGGUAUCAGAAGUGCGAAUGCUGACAUAAGUAACGAUAAAGCGGGUGAAAAGCCCGCUCGCCGGAAGACCAAGGGUUCCUGUCCAACGUUAAUCGGGGCAGGGUGAGUCGACCCCUAAGGCGAGGCCGAAAGGCGUAGUCGAUGGGAAACAGGUUAAUAUUCCUGUACUUGGUGUUACUGCGAAGGGGGGACGGAGAAGGCUAUGUUAGCCGGGCGACGGUUGUCCCGGUUUAAGCAUGUAGGCUGGUUAUCCAGGCAAAUCCGGAUAAUCAAGGCUGAGGUGUGAUGACGAGGCACUACGGUGCUGAAGUAACAAAUGCCCUGCUUCCAGGAAAAGCCUCUAAGCAUCAGGUAACAUUAAAUCGUACCCCAAACCGACACAGGUGGUCAGGUAGAGAAUACCAAGGCGCUUGAGAGAACUCGGGUGAAGGAACUAGGCAAAAUGGUGCCGUAACUUCGGGAGAAGGCACGCUGGUGUGUAGGUGAAGCCCCUGCGGGUGGAGCUGAGACCAGUCGAAGAUACCAGCUGGCUGCAACUGUUUAUUAAAAACACAGCACUGUGCAAACACGAAAGUGGACGUAUACGGUGUGACGCCUGCCCGGUGCCGGAAGGUUAAUUGAUGGGGUUAUCCGUAAGGAGAAGCUCUUGAUCGAAGCCCCGGUAAACGGCGGCCGUAACUAUAACGGUCCUAAGGUAGCGAAAUUCCUUGUCGGGUAAGUUCCGACCUGCACGAAUGGCGUAAUGAUGGCCAGGCUGUCUCCACCCGAGACUCAGUGAAAUUGAACUCGCUGUGAAGAUGCAGUGUACCCGCGGCAAGACGGAAAGACCCCGUGAACCUUUACUAUAGCUUGACACUGAACAUUGAGCCUUGAUGUGUAGGAUAGGUGGGAGGCUUUGAAGCGUGGACGCCAGUCUGCGUGGAGCCAACCUUGAAAUACCACCCUUUAAUGUUUGAUGUUCUAACGUUGGCCCCUGAUCGGGGUUGCGGACAGUGUCUGGUGGGUAGUUUGACUGGGGCGGUCUCCUCCCAAAGCGUAACGGAGGAGCACGAAGGUUAGCUAAUCCUGGUCGGACAUCAGGAGGUUAGUGCAAUGGCAUAAGCUAGCUUGACUGCGAGCGUGACGGCGCGAGCAGGUGCGAAAGCAGGUCAUAGUGAUCCGGUGGUUCUGAAUGGAAGGGCCAUCGCUCAACGGAUAAAAGGUACUCCGGGGAUAACAGGCUGAUACCGCCCAAGAGUUCAUAUCGACGGCGGUGUUUGGCACCUCGAUGUCGGCUCAUCACAUCCUGGGGCUGAAGUAGGUCCCAAGGGUAUGGCUGUUCGCCAUUUAAAGUGGUACGCGAGCUGGGUUUAGAACGUCGUGAGACAGUUCGGUCCCUAUCUGCCGUGGGCGCUGGAGAAUUGAGGGGGGCUGCUCCUAGUACGAGAGGACCGGAGUGGACGCAUCACUGGUGUUCGGGUUGUCAUGCCAAUGGCACUGCCCGGUAGCUAAAUGCGGAAGAGAUAAGUGCUGAAAGCAUCUAAGCACGAAACUUGCCCCGAGAUGAGUUCUCCCUGAGACUUUAAGUCUCCUGAAGGAACGUUGAAGACGACGACGUUGAUAGGCCGGGUGUGUAAGCGCAGCGAUGCGUUGAGCUAACCGGUACUAAUGAACCGUGAGGCUUAACCUU